rnacentral:rRNA from 1 species
AUUGGAUUUGGCGGCAAAAUAGACCUUUUAGAGGAACCUGCCCUGUAAACGAUGAUCCACGAGAUACUUAACUUCUGUUAGUAAUCAGUUUGUAUACCGUUGUUGUUAGUAAGACUUUUUAAGGUACUUACAAUAAUGAGAAUUCCAUUGACUUCAAAUAAAGGUGCAGCUUAUGCAGAAGAGAGAGGUGGGUUACAUUUAAUAGAAUAAAACGGAUGGCAAAACGAAAUAUUGCUUGAAGGUGGAUUUAAAAGUAAAGUCUUGAGGACUUGAUGAGAGCACUGUUUUGUGUACACACCGCCCGUC